UCAUCGUAAAAAUAGUGGUGGUGGUUAAAAGUGAUUCUAAUGAAAAAUGUAGUGAUAGUGUCGUUUAGUAAAUUUCUCAAAUUGAUAUAAGUGCGUGUUAUCAAUAUGUGUGUGCUCGUGUGUUGUGUUAUAAUGUGGUUAUUGUGUGUGUUGUGUUCAUCGGGUUAAUUACUAUAUUGAAGAGAUGGAUUCUUUUCUUCGUCAACGUAAGAGGCGUAACAGCGUUCGUUGUCCGGUACGAUCCGGCAUCAAGAACAAUGGAAGAAGGGAGGCGAGCGCUCCGUCAAGUGCGAGAGCCCAUAAAUCCAAUAGGACGCGCAAUUUGUUGAAUUACAGCAUGCGCCAGCCAGCCACCGGCCCGACGCGAAAUUAGCUCCCACAGAGAUAAAUUGACGGCGGCCCGCUAAAUAAAUUAUUUGGGAAAAACCGAGAGAAAAAACUGGCGUCUUUCCUUGAUAAGGGUUGCGAGUAUUCUGCCUUGGGUGUAAUUAAUAUAGACCGGCUUAUAAACUAGGAAAUAGAAAUAUAAUUUUUUAAGACCUCAGAACAAAAGGGGGUAGUCAGCGGGGAUAAUAUUUAGAUUUAAACCAAUACUAACUCCAUUCCAGUUGACGCCAUCUUGAUGUAAUAAAUAUUCCCAUCGCUAUGUAACAUCGGGAUGGUUUCUGCAUAAAGUAACAAAAUAUUCCAUUGCGAAAUUGGUAAAGAGUUAAGGUCUCAUGUUAAAAAGAAUUACUACCAGAAAAAUUGCCUGUUCAAUAUUGUGUUUUUUAAUUCUUUUUGCGUGACAUUGUAUCAAAAGCGAUAAGGGGUUGACGCACCCUUUCUUUCAGCGGGAUUAAUCUUAGUUGUAUAUUCGAGAUUUAGCCAGCAAUAAGAAAGACGCAUAGGUGGGCUUAGAGAGGGUGGGCGCAGCAAAUUGUCUCAGCCGCGCCGCUCCCCACUGACGCGUACAUUUUAUUACAUUCGUUAACGCAUAUUAGAUGAAUGCGUAAAUACUUAAAAUUUGCAUGAAUAUUGUUAGAUGAUAG